GAUGAACGCUGGCGGCGUGCUUAACACAUGCAAGUCGAACGAAGUGGCGAACGGGUGAGUAACGCGUAAUCAACCUGCCCUUCAGGGGGGGACAACAGUUGGAAACGACUGCUAAUACCGCAUACUGAAGGAGGGGAUUGCGUCUGAUUAGAUAGUUGGAGGGGUAACGGCCCAGCAAGGCGAUGAUCAGUAGGCGGUCCGGGCAGGAGAACGGCAACAGUGGGACUGGGACACGGCCCAGGCUCCGACGGGAAGGAGCAGUAGGGGAACUUCCGCUAUGGAAGUAAGGCUGACGGAGCAACGGCGCGGGAGUGAUGGCGGCCUUGGGGUUUGGAAGGUAUGUUAAUCGGGACGCGGUACCGGAAUAGAAAGCCACGGCUAACUACGUGCCAGCAGCCGCGGUAAUUC
rnacentral:rRNA from 1 species